CCUACGGGGGGCAGCAGUGAGGAAUAUUGGUCAAUGGCCGGGAGGCUGAACCAGCCAAGUCGCGUGAAGGAUGACUGCCCUACGGGUUGUAAACUUCUUUUAUAAAGGAAUAAAGUGAGGCACGUGUGCCUUUUUGUAUGUACUUUAUGAAUAAGGAUCGGCUAACUCCGUGCCAGCAGCCGCGGUAAUACGGAGGAUCCGAGCGUUAUCCGGAUUUAUUGGGUUUAAAGGGAGCGUAGAUGGGUUGUUAAGUCAGUUGUGAAAGUUUGCGGCUCAACCGUAAAAUUGCAAUUGAUACUGGCAGCCUUGAGGACAGUUGAGGUAGGCGGAAUUCGUGGUGUAGCGGUGAAAUUCUUAGAUAUCACGAAGAACUCCGAUUGCGAAGGCAGCUUACUAAACUGCCACUGACAUUGAUGCUCGAAAGUGUGGGUAUCAAACAGGAUUAGAUACCCCUGUAGUC
rnacentral:rRNA from 1 species